rnacentral:lncRNA from 1 species
GAGAUUGAUGAUACGAUUGAGUUCAACAUUGUUAAUCCAGCUGAUCGGUCAAUCUGUGCCUUUGCUGCAGGUGGUAAUUGUCCUCGGGGAGAAGAGUGUCCUCAUAUUCAUGGAGAUCUGUGUCCAACCUGUGGGAAGCAUUGCUUGCAUCCUUUCAGGCCUCAGGAAAGAGAGGAGCAUAUGAAAACAUGUGAGAACAAGCAAAAGCACCUUGAUUUAUUGAAGCGCAGUCAAGAAAUAGAAUGCAGUGUAUGCCUUGAACGUGUUCUUUCCAAGUCAACAGCAACUGAGAGGAAGUUUGGGAUCCUUUCUGAGUGUGAUCAUCCGUUUUGUGUAUCAUGUAUAAGGAAUUGGCGUG